rnacentral:rRNA from 1 species
UACGUAGGGGGCGAGCGUUGUCCGGAUUCAUUGGGCGUAAAGCGCUUUAAGGCGGUUCGCUAAGUCGGGUGUGAAACCUCCAGGCUCAACCUGGAGACGCCACUCGAUACUGGAAAGCUCGAGUCCGGGAGAGGUGAGUGGAACUGCGAGUGUAGAGGUGAAAUUCGUAGAUAUUCGCAAGAACACCAGUGGCGAAGGCGGCUCACUGGCCCGGUACUGACGCUGAGGUGCGAAAGCGUGGGGAGCAAACAGG